rnacentral:rRNA from 1 species
GUGCCAGCAGCCGCGGUAAUACGAAGGACCCGAGCGUUAUCCGGAUUUAUUGGGUUUAAAGGGUGCGUAGGCGGAUUAAUAAGUCAGUGGUGAAAGCCUCCCGCUUAACGGGAGAAUUGCCAUUGAUACUGUUAAUCUUGAGUAUGGUUGAGGUGGGCGGAAUGUGUCAUGUAGCGGUGAAAUGCUUAGAUAUGACACAGAACACCAAUUGCGAAGGCAGCUCGCUAAACCAUAACUGACGCUGAGGCACGAAAGCGUGGGUAGCAAACAGGAUUAGAAACCCCAGUAGUCC